GUCCACGCUGUAAACGGUGAGUGCUCGUCGUCGUGGGUAUUGACCCCUGCGGUGACCAAGUUAACACAUGAAGCACUCCGCCUGGGAAGUACGGUCGCAAGACUAAAACUCAAAGAAAUUGACGGGGCCCGCACAAGCGGUGGAGCAUGUUGUUUAAUUCGAAGCAACGCGCAGAACCUUACCUGGAUUUGACAUCUCUGGAAUUUCCCUGAAAGGGGAGAGUGCCUUCGGGAGCCAGAAGACAGGUGCUGCAUGGCUGUCGU
rnacentral:rRNA from 1 species